GAUGAACGCUGGCGGCGUGCCUAAUACAUGCAAGUCGAGCGAACAGACGAGGAGCUUGCUCCUCUGACGUUAGCGGCGGACGGGUGAGUAACACGUGGAUAACCUACCUAUAAGACUGGGAUAACUUCGGGAAACCGGAGCUAAUACCGGAUAAUAUAUUGAACCGCAUGGUUCAAUAGUGAAAGACGGUUUUGCUGUCACUUAUAGAUGGAUCCGCGCCGCAUUAGCUAGUUGGUAAGGUAACGGCUUACCAAGGCAACGAUGCGUAGCCGACCUGAGAGGGUGAUCGGCCACACUGGAACUGAGACACGGUCCAGACUCCUACGGGAGGCAGCAGUAGGGAAUCUUCCGCAGUGGGCGAAAGCCUGACGGAGCAACGCCGCGUGAGUGAUGAAGGUCUUCGGAUCGUAAUACUCUGUUAUUAGGGAAGAACAGAUGUGUAAGUAACUAUGCACGUCUUGACGGUACCUAAUCAGAAAGCCACGGCUAACUACGUG
rnacentral:rRNA from 1 species